UACGUAGGUGGCAAGCGUUGUCCGGAUUUACUGGGCGUAAAGAGCGCGCAGGCGGUCGGAUAAGUCGAAUGUGAAAGCCCCCGGCUCAACUGGGGAGGUCAUUCGAUACUGUUCGACUCGAAGGCAGGAGAGGGAAGCGGAAUUCCCGGUGUAGUGGUGAAAUGCGUAGAUAUCGGGAGGAACACCAGUGGCGAGGCGCUUCUGGCCUGUUCUUGACGCUGAGGCGCGAAGCCAGGGGAGCAAACGGG
rnacentral:rRNA from 1 species